AGCAUAUCAAUAAGCGGAGGAAAAGAAACUAACAAGGAUUCCCCUAGUAACUGCGAGUGAAGCGGGAAAAGCUCAAAUUUAAAAUCUGGCGGUCUUUGGCCGUCCGAGUUGUAGUCUGGAGAAGUGCUUUCCGCGCUGGACCGUGUAUAAGUCUCUUGGAACAGAGCGUCAUAGAGGGUGAGAAUCCCGUCUUUGACACGGACUACCAGUGCUUUGUGAUGCGCUCUCAAAGAGUCGAGUUGUUUGGGAAUGCAGCUCAAAAUGGGUGGUGAAUUCCAUCUAAAGCUAAAUAUUGGCGAGAGACCGAUAGCGAACAAGUACCGUGAGGGAAAGAUGAAAAGCACUUUGGAAAGAGAGUUAAACAGUACGUGAAAUUGCUGAAAGGGAAACGCUUGAAGUCAGUCGCGUUGUCCGGAACUCAGCCUUGCUUUCGCUUGGUGCACUUUCCGGAUGACGGGUCAGCAUCGAUUUUGACCGUCGGAAAAGGGCUGGAGUAAUGUGGCACCUCCGGGUGUGUUAUAGACUCUGGUCGCAUACGACGGUUGGGAUCGAGGAACGCAGCGCGCCGCAAGGCAGGGGUUCGCCCACUUUCGCGCUUAGGAUGCUGGCAUAAUGGCUUUAAACGACCCGUCUUGAAACACGGACCAAGGAGUCUAACAUACCUGCGAGUGUUUGGGUGGAAAACCCGAGCGCGUAAUGAAAGUGAAAGUUGAGAUCCCUGUCGUGGGGAGCAUCGACGCCCGGACCUGACGUUCUCUGACGGAUCCGCGGUAGAGCAUGUAUGUUGGGACCCGAAAGAUGGUGAACUAUGCCUGAAUAGGGUGAAGCCAGAGGAAACUCUGGUGGAGGCUCGUAGCGAUUCUGACGUGCAAAUCGAUCGUCAAAUUUGGGUAUAGGGGCGAAAGACUAAUCGAACCAUCUAG
rnacentral:rRNA from 1 species